GACAGAGGGUGCAAACGUUGUUCGGAAUUACUGGGCGUAAAGCGCGUGUAGGCGGCUAUGCAAGUCGGAUGUGAAGCCCUCGGCUCAACCGGGAAGUGCACCCGAAACUGCAAGCUAGAGUCUCGGAGAGGAUCGUGGAAUUCUCGGUGUAGAGGUGAAAUUCGUAGAUAUCGUAAGGAAGACCGAGUGGCGAAGGCGGGUCUCUGGACAGUUCCGUGACGCUGAGGCACGAA
rnacentral:rRNA from 1 species